rnacentral:pre_miRNA from 1 species
AUAACUUCAUUAUAGAUAGUUAACUCAUCACCAGUCAAUGCAUCACUGCUAGCACAUGCAAGCUUUCAGUUGACAUUUCCUGUUAUAUAAAGAAUUCCUCAGAAGAAAAGCUAGUAGAAAUGCAUUGACUAGUGAUGAGUUAAUUUCAGUUGAUUUGCUGUUAU